ensembl:lncRNA
CAUGUUUCUGAGCUUUUGUGGGAUCCCAAAGGAGAUCUACAGAUAUUUUGUUAUUUGUUUGGGGUUUUGUUUUGUUUAUGUUAAUUUUUAGGAUACACCACUUGGCAUCUGCCUCAUUCAAAGUACAGCUGGGUAUACUGAGUGAUUCAUCAACUCUGCUGGAGUACCUUGGAGCUGUGCUGGGUUUCAUGGCAGAUUCAAUAAGGAACAGAAAUGGAACAAAUCCCUUAAGGCAGCUGGAAGGUUACAUAUGUAUUUCAGGGAAAGGGAAUACUCUUCAAAAAUCAGAAUGAAGGCAGGGCCCCAGAUUAUCCUAAGAGUAGUUAAACUAUUAUAAUGUCUGGGACCUAUAGGCAACUGGCAGUGGGUUGCAACGUGCUGGAAAAGGAGAUUAGAGAUUUUAUUCAUGUUUCAGAUGGAGAAGCUGAGAUGAAUGGUUGUUGAUUUGCACCAUAUGGAGAGGUCACGGUGCCUGUGUAGUCUCACAGGCCGUGUUCACUGUGAUUACAAAUGCUGCACUUAACUUCUAGGGCAAUAUCUCACUCAAGAGAAAGCGUUUCUCUAGGUACACAACAAAGCAAGGAGCACCAACCCAACAGGACCAUUGGCUGCCCAACUUCUCAGCAUGUUGUCAAGUCCACCCACAUCUGCUCAGAUAGGCCUGAGCAUGAUCCAGGUUUCCCCAGAGAAGCUGAGCUGGCAGGAGAUUUUAGAUCAGACUUCACGUAUAGAUGACUCCCAAGACAAAAAGAGCAUUUUUGACCUGUGUUCUUAAAGGUGUUAAUGUGAUGUAAUUCCAACUCCCCUGAGUGAGAGUUUAAGGUGCUGACAAAUCUUUUCGGUGGCUCAGUUCCAAAUGUAACUGCUCUGAAGUAGGGUUACAUUAAGAUAUCAAUACUUCAUACUGAAUCUGUUUUACUAUUGAAAAUUGAAUCCAGCUGCAGGAUGGUUUCAAAACUACUUUUUUUAUAUAAGGUUUAUAAAAUUGAUCAAGAUGUGGAGGUUUUCAUUGCAUUGGUGAAAAAUUAUUAAUUCUGAGAAGAUUCACAUUUCUACAAUGCUUAGUAAUCCUCAUUAAUGUGUUUUAAUUCAGCCUAUCUUAGUUAUUUAUUAAUGAAAAAAGCAAAAUAAUAACAUUGUAGGUCAAACAAUGUUUUUGUUUGUUGUCAGUGUUGUUUUUCAGAACUUCAUGACAAAUAACUGCAAUACCAUCUAUAUUCUUGAUACAGUCAAAACCGACUUCUGAGUAUUCACAGCAGAAGUAAAUUUGAACUGGUCUGUAGCUGAGCUUUUAAUCUUGCAAAUUUUUUCCUCAAGUAGAAUCCAAAAUUUACCAAAUAAGCUGGAAAUUAUCAAGCAAUAGCAAGAAAAUGUGUUGUGUUUUGAGGACUGGAAAAAAACACAUCUAUGUUUUACUUAAAAAAAUAAACAACAACACACUUCAUCAAAAUAAAAUCUAAGCAUGGGACAUUAAUUAACUUCUCUUUUCUCUCUCUUUUUUUUUUCUUCCAAAUUUCUCUGUUAGAACUCUGCGUUUUUUGCAGUGAACAGAACUUGCAAUGUUACUUCUUUGAGACUGGUAGGAAAUACAUUGUAUUCAACAUUUGCCCUUUGCAGUGCAUGGACCCUUUCAAGUUUCAUAAGGUGGCUUUCACUCUUUGCUGCAGUUUCUGAGGUGUGCCUUCCAUGAAAUGAGGUAGAAAUGCAGAACAAAUCUUCUGAAUGGAAAAACUGGGUUGACAAGUCUGACAUUUUUGUGGUUUAUAUUACUUCUUAGUAAAAACAAAUAAGCAAACCCCAACCACAUUAGGCAGAGAGAAAGAGGAUAAUUUGUGCAAUGUCUUCCAUCUUCCAGCAUUUUUAAUUACCCAGGUUUGGUUCUUCAUGUCUUAUUUUCCUAGGCUGAAGAAAGCAUGUUAAUGGUCUUUACUACAUGGAGCUAUAAAUUCUUCUA